AUUGAACGCUGGCGGCAGGCCUAACACAUGCAAGUCGAGCGGAUGACGGGAGCUUGCUCCUUGAUUCAGCGGCGGACGGGUGAGCAAUGCCUAGGAAUCUGCCUGGUAGUGGGGGACAACGUUUCGAAAGGAACGCUAAUACCGCAUACGUCCUACGGGAGAAAGCAGGGGACCUUCGGGCCUUGCGCUAUCAGAUGAGCCUAGGUCGGAUUAGCUAGUUGGUGGGGUAAUGGCUCACCAAGGCGACGAUCCGUAACUGGUCUGAGAGGAUGAUCAGUCACACUGGAACUGAGACACGGUCCAGACUCCUACGGGAGGCAGCAGUGGGGAAUAUUGGACAAUGGGUGAAAGCCUGAUCCAGCCAUGCCGCGUGUGUGAAGAAGGUCUUCGGAUUGUAAAGCACUUUAAGUUGGGAGGAAGGGCAGUAAGCUAAUACCUUGCUGUUUUGACGUUACCGACAGAAUAAGCACCGGCUAACUCUGUGCCAGCAGCCGCCGUAA
rnacentral:rRNA from 1 species